UUGUUUUUUUUUUUUUUUUGUGAGUUCGUGGAUGAUUAUUCAUUUAGGGAUGAAUCCUGAGAGGGGAGGUAGGCCUCCUAGUGAUAGUAUGUUUGUUAGGAUUAGUGAGGUAAUUAGUGGGAGUUUGUUUCAUAUAUGAGAUAGUGAUAGUGUGGCUGUAGAUGAACUGAAUAUAAAUCAUAUUAUAGCUAGGGGUCCUGUGGGGAGGAUUAGUCAUAGGUGUUCUUGUGUAGUAAUAAGUGUGGAUAGGGUAAAAGAGCCAUUUAUUAGUAGUAAUGAUAGGAGGAUAAUGGCUAGUAUGACUUCGUAGGAAAUUGUUUGGGCUACAGAUCGAAGGGCCCCAAUUAG